UACGGAGGGUGCAAGCGUUAUCCGGAUUCACUGGGUUUAAAGGGUGCGUAGGUGGGCAGGUAAGUCAGUGGUGAAAUCUCCGAGGCUUAACUCGGGAAACUGCCGUUGAUACUAUUUGUCUUGAAUAUUGUGGAGGUAAGCGGAAUAUGGUCAUGUAGCGGUGAAAUGCUUAGAUAUGACAUAGAACACCAAUGCGAAGGCAGCUUACUACACAACGAUUGACGCUGAGCACGAAAGCGUGGGGAUCAAACAGG
rnacentral:rRNA from 1 species